rnacentral:rRNA from 1 species
UACAGAGGGUGCAAGCGUUAAUCGGAAUUACUGGGCGUAAAGCGUGCGUAGUCGGUUAUCUAAGUCGGAUGUGAAACCCCCGGGCUCAACCUGGGAAUUGCAUUCGAUACUGGAUAGCUAGAGUUCGGCAGAGGGAAGUGGAAUUUCGGGUGUAGCGGUGAAAUGCGUAGAUAUCGGAAGGAACACCAGUGGCGAAAGCGGCUUCCUGGUCCAGCACCGACGUUCAGGCACGAAAGCGUGGGGAGCAAACAGG